rnacentral:snRNA from 14 species
CAACAAUACAGAGAAAAUUAGCAUGGCUCCUGAGCAAGAAUGACACACAAGUUUGUGAAGUGUUCCAUAUUUUG